rnacentral:ncRNA from 1 species
GAUGAUAGAGGCGCGGAACUCAAAUAGUACCCAUUUGGAAGCUGGAAUAGAGCUGACGAAAAAUGGAGAAAGGGGAGGCCGCCGAAAUGGUUAAUAAUCUAUUCAUUAUUAACUGUUGGUUCUACAUUUAAGAAAUGUAGAAUUGUCAGAGCGAAAGGCUUUGGAGGGCUAUC